rnacentral:rRNA from 1 species
CCUACGGGAGGCAGCAGUGAGGAAUAUUGGUCAAUGGGCUUACGCCUGAACCAGCCAAGUCGCGUGAGGGAAGAAUGCCCUAUGGGUUGUAAACCUCUUUUGUCAGGGAGCAACGCCGGCUACGUGUAGCCGGACUGAGAGUACCUGAAGAAAAAGCAUCGGCAAACUCCGUGCCAGCAGCCGCGGUAGUACGGGGGAUGCGAGCGUUAUCGGGUUUUAUUGGGUGAAAGGGGUGCGUAGGCGGAAUGCCAAGUCAGCGGUAAAAUCGCGGGCCUCACCCUCGAACCGCCGUUGAAACUGGCGUUCUUGAGUGCACGAGAGGUAUGCGGAAUGCGUGGUGUAGCGGUGAAAUGCGUAGAUAUCACGAAGAACACCGAUUGCGAAGGCAGCAUACCGGAGCGCAACUGACGCUGAAGCACGAAAGCGUGGGGAGCAAACAGGAUUAGAUACCCGGGUAGUC